UUGUAUCUCUGUGGCAGAGCAUCUGCUUUCUAUGCAAAAGGUCCUGGAUUCAAUUUCCAGCAUCUCAA
rnacentral:tRNA from 1 species